GGAUUUCAAAAAUAUUUUAGAAAAACAAUUGGUUUUAAGUUGGUUGUUUUUAAGAAAAGGAGAGAAAUUGAGAUUAAGCGGAUGAAUAGAUAAGAGAUCAAAAUUAAGAGAUAGGAUUUUAAGAGAUCACACCAACAAAUCAUCUUGGUUCUGCCUUAAAACAUGAGACCUACUCCAAUUCCCAUGUUUUUCCACUUGAGAUUUCCACUAUCAACUACUUGAGGUUUUAU
rnacentral:lncRNA from 1 species